rnacentral:rRNA from 1 species
GACGAACGCUGGCGGCGUGCUUAACACAUGCAAGUCGAACGGAAAGGCCCUGCUUUUGUGGGGUGCUCGAGUGGCGAACGGGUGAGUAACACGUGAGUAACCUGCCCUUGACUUUGGGAUAACUUCAGGAAACUGGGGCUAAUACCGGAUAGGAGCUCCUGCUGCAUGGUGGGGGUUGGAAAGUUUCGGCGGUUGGGGAUGGACUCGCGGCUUAUCAGCUUGUUGGUGGGGUAGUGGCUUACCAAGGCUUUGACGGGUAGCCGGCCUGAGAGGGUGACCGGCCACAUUGGGACUGAGAUACGGACCAGACGCCUACGGGAGGCAGCAGGGGGGAAUAUUGCACAAUGGGGGGAAGCCUGAUGCAGCAACGCCCCGUGCGGGAUGACGGCCUUCGGGGUGUAAACCGCUUUCGCCUGUGACGAAGCGGGAGUGACGGUAAUGGGUAAAGAAGCACCGGCUAACUACGUG